AUGAUGAGCUUGGGAGAGUCCCUCAGGGCGCCGAAGAAGCAAAUCACACUGGUCGAAGUGUGACGAAACUUUCAGGCAAAAGGACCACGCUCUGACA
rnacentral:ncRNA from 2 species